ACUAAGCGUACACGGUGGAUGCCCUGGCAGUCAGAGGCGAUGAAGGGCGUGCUAAUCUGCGAUAAGCGCCGGUAAGGUGAUAUGAACCGUUAUAACCGGCGAUACCCGAAUGGGGAAACCCAGUGUGACUCGUCACACUAUCAUUAACUGAAUCCAUAGGUUAAUGAGGCGAACCGGGGGAACUGAAACAUCUAAGUACCCCGAGGAAAAGAAAUCAACCGAGAUUCCCCCAGUAGCGGCGAGCGAACGGGGAGGAGCCCAGAGCCUGAAUCAGCAUGUGUGUUAGUGGAAGCGUCUGGAAAGGCGCGCGAUACAGGGUGACAGCCCCGUACACAAAAGCGCAUGUGCUGUGAGCUCGAUGAGUAGGGCGGGACACGUGGUAUCCUGUCUGAAUAUGGGGGGACCAUCCUCCAAGGCUAAAUACUCCUGACUGACCGAUAGUGAACCAGUACCGUGAGGGAAAGGCGAAAAGAACCCCGGCGAGGGGAGUGAAAAAGAACCUGAAACCGUGUACGUACAAGCAGUGGGAGCACCCUUUGGGUGUGACUGCGUACCUUUUGUAUAAUGGGUCAGCGACUUAUAUUCUGUAGCAAGGUUAACCGAAUAGGGGAGCCGGAGGGAAACCGAGUCUUAAUUGGGCGUUAAGUUGCAGGGUAUAGACCCGAAACCCGGUGAUCUAGCCAUGGGCAGGUUGAAGGUUGGGUAACACUAACUGGAGGACCGAACCGACUAAUGUUGAAAAAUUAGCGGAUGACCUGUGGCUGGGGGUGAAAGGCCAAUCAAACCGGGAGAUAGCUGGUUCUCCCCGAAAGCUAUUUAGGUAGCGCCUCGUGAAUUCAUCUCCGGGGGUAGAGCACUGUUUCGGCUAGGGGGCCAUCCCGGCUUACCAACCCGAUGCAAACUGCGAAUACCGGAGAAUGUUAUCACGGGAGACACACGGCGGGUGCUAACGUCCGUCGUGAAGAGGGAAACAACCCAGACCGCCAGCUAAGGUCCCAAAGUCAUGGUUAAGUGGGAAACGAUGUGGGAAGGCCCAGACAGCCAGGAUGUUGGCUUAGAAGCAGCCAUCAUUUAAAGAAAGCGUAAUAGCUCACUGGUCGAGUCGGCCUGCGCGGAAGAUGUAACGGGGCUAAACCAUGCACCGAAGCUGCGGCAGCGAC
rnacentral:rRNA from 1 species